ACCACAUUGUUCUGCCGAGGCAGAGAGUAGGAGAGAAAAUAGGAGAGAAGAAAGAGCUGUGAAUUCUCUAAGCCUCAUUUUUUAUGUAGUAGUAAAGUGGUGAUGGUAACUAACCCUCACUUACAACCGAGAGGUUGUGAGUUCGAGUCUCCCCAGGAGCAAAUUCUGGGGAUUUAUGCCGGGGGUCUAUUUGGAAACAGCCUCUACCUCCCGCCUGGGAACCACAUUGUUCUGCCGAGGCAGAGAGUAGGAGAGAAAAUAGGAGAGAAGAAAGAGCUGUGAAUUCUCUAAGCCUCAUUUUUUAUGUAGUAGUAAAGUGGUGAUGGUAACUAACCCUCACUUACAACCGAGAGGUUGUGAGUUCGAGUCUCCCCAGGAGCAAAUUCUGGGAAUUUAUGUCGGGGGUCUAUGUGGAAACAGCCUCUCUACCUCAUGGUAGGGGUAAGGCACACUACACUCCCCAGACACCACUGAGUGGUAUUGUACUGGGUCGUACAUUUCUAGUAAAGUGGUGAAGUGCAA
rnacentral:lncRNA from 1 species